rnacentral:lncRNA from 1 species
CGGCAAGGACCAACUACAGCCAACCAUCAACUGCGAUGGCCACAGGCGAGCAUGCGAUGGGUCUCACCGCUGACGCGUGCUCGGCCGAUGACGACUGGUUGUCGAAGCAAUGCUGGCGAGACCGGUGGCGAGAGCUGGAGGCUUGUCGCACUGUGGAGAAGGCCGAGAAAGUCUCGGUUCGAGAUCCCCUUGCAAGUCGAUGGCCACCAUCGAGGUACGCAGCCGCCUCACACACAUGAUGAGCGAUGGCAGACGGUGAAGCUGCAGAUGGCGUGACCGCUAUGCGCAAGCCCAUCACGCGUCGGUGGUGUCUCAUUUUUCUUCUCCUCGUGAAUAUGUCGCGAGAGAGGCACCUCGAUGCCGGCGAUCUCGUCGCUGCAGGCUGGUCGGUGGAAGCGCAAGAGUUGCGCGGUCGGUGUCUCGUGCUGGUGGCGGUGAUGGCUGGCCUGGUCGACGGUUGAGAGUUGGGAGAGGCGUGUG